GGGGGCGAAACGGUAUCGACGGGAGUUAGAGCUGUCAGAAGGCAUGCCGGUCCCCACUUGUCCGUUAUCGAGUGGAAAACUAGAACUGCCAAUCCACAAUUGGCUCUGGCUGCCUAAAAUAGGCUAGCCCGUCUCCUCAGGCUUCGCCUGUGGGCCUGAGAUGAGGCGUCGCACAGCAGGCUGGCCGUUCGGUCUCGGCCCGUGAUCGAGCGGCGAGAACCACCGGGCUAGCCACCAGCGUUUCUUGCCGGUUCUGAGCGCUGACGGCGAACCCAAUGGAAUCGGAUAAGCAUGUAGUUCUUCUGACGGCAAGACUCUUCGGACGGGGGUUCGACUCCCCCCGCCUCCAUCU
rnacentral:tmRNA from 1 species